rnacentral:rRNA from 1 species
AGAGUUUGAUCCUGGCUCAGGAUGAAUGUUGGCGGUGUGCCUGAGAUAUGCAAGUCGAACGUCUUUUUGCCGCAAGGCAGAAGGUAGUGGCGGACGGCUGAGUAACACAUAGGGACUUACCCCUUUUUGAAGGAUAGCCCAUCGAAAGGUGGGAUAAUACUUCAUGGUAUGGAUACCGUAAGGUAUUUGUUAAAGAGAUUAACUUCUCGAAAAGGGAUGGACCUGUGGCUUAUCAGAUAGUUGGUGGGGUAACGGCCUACCAAGUCUACGACGAGUAGCUGGCCUGAGAAGGUGGUCAGCCAGAGGGGGACUGAGACACGGCCCCCACUCCUACGGGAGGCAGCAAUCAGGAAUAGUCGGCAAUGGACGAAAGUCUGACCGCGCGACACCGCGUGUAGGAAUAAGCUCUAACGAGCGUAAACUACUGUGAUAGAGGAAAAAAAGCCCGCUCAGCGGGCCUUGAUGGUACUCUAUAAGAAAGGGGCCGCUAACUGCGUGCCAGAAGCGUCGGUAAUACGUGGGCCCCAAACAUUAUCCGGUUUUACUGGGUGUAAAAAGUAGUGUAGGUGUCUUUCUAAGUUUUGUUUCAAAUACUGCGGCUCAACCGUAGAAAGGGGCAAAAUACUGGUUUGAUAGAGUUUGCUUUAGAGAAACUGGAACUCAGGGAGGAGUAGUGAAAUGCGUUGAUACCCUGGGGAACACCAGUGGCGAAGGCGAGUUUCUGAAAGCAGACUGACACUGAGACACGAAAGCUAGGGGAGCGAAGCAGAUUAGAGACCUGCGUAGUCCUAGCCCUAAACGCAUGCUUGCUAGCCGCAUUUUUCC